UGCUGCCAUGGCCACGACUGUUGUUACACUCGAGCUGAGGAGGCCGGCUGCAGCCCCAAGACAGAGCGCUACUCCUGGCAGUGCGUCAAUCAGAGCGUCCUGUGCGAUUUCUUCUUAUUGCCCAGGCUUGAGUGCAAUGACCUGUUCUCAGCUUACUCAACCUCUGCCUCUUGGGUUUCAGUCAUUUUUCUGCCUCGGCCUCCUGAGUAGCUAAGGGAGGAGUCUUGAGAUUAUCAUCCACGGAGGGUGGAAGAGGAGAGGGUGGAAGGGGAAUAAGAAGACACUCCAGUGAAGCACUUGCCUUGCGUGCAAAAAUGUAAGGGGGCCUCUCCCUCUCCCUCUCCGUCUCCCUCUCCCUCUCCCUCUCCGUCUC
rnacentral:lncRNA from 1 species